rnacentral:rRNA from 1 species
UACGUAGGGUGCAAGCGUUAAUCGGAAUUACUGGGCGUAAAGCGUGCGCAGGCGGUCUUGUAAGUCUGACGUGAAAUCCCCGGGCUUAACCUGGGAAUGGCAUUGAGGACUGUGGAGCUCGAGUGCGGCAGAGGGAGGUGGAAUUCCACGUGUAGCAGUGAAAUGCGUAGAGAUGUGGAGGAACACCGAUGGCGAAGGCAGCCUCCUGGGCCGACACUGACGCUCAUGCACGAAAGCGUGGGGAGCAAACAGG